rnacentral:rRNA from 1 species
AGGACGAACGCUGGCGGCGUGCUUAACACAUGCAAGUCGAGCGGAAAGGCCCUUCGGGGUACUCGAGCGGCGAACGGGUGAGUAACACGUGAGCAACCUGCCCUUAGCUUCGGGAUAGCUCCGGGAAACCGGAAUUAAUACCGAAUAUGACUUUGGCUGACAUCAGCAGAAGUGGAAAGUUUUUCGGCUAGGGAUGGACUCGCGGCCUAUCAGCUAGUUGGUGAGGUAACGGCCCACCAAGGCGACGACGGGUAGCCGGCCUGAGAGGGCGACGGGCCACGACCUGGGACUGAGACACGGCCCAGACUCCUACGGGAGGCAGCAGUGGGGAAUAUUGCGCAAUGGGCGAAAGCCUGACGCAGCGACGCCGCGUGGGGGAUGAAUGCCUUCGGUUGUAAACCCUUUCAGCAGGGACGAAGCGAAAGUGACGGUACCUGCAGAAGAAGCGCCGGCUAACUACGUGCCAGCAGCCGC